rnacentral:rRNA from 1 species
UACGUAGGGUGCAAGCGUUGUCCGGAAUUAUUGGGCGUAGAGAGCUCGUAGGCGGUCUGUCGCGUCUGCUGUGAAAACUCGGGGCUUAACCCCGGGCCUGCAGUGGGUACGGGCAGACUAGAGUGCGGUAGGGGAGACUGGAAUUCCUGGUGUAGCGGUGAAAUGCGCAGAUAUCAGGAGGAACACCAGUGGCGAAGGCGGCGACCUGGGCCAAUACUGACGCUGAGGUGCGAAAGCGUGGGGAGCAAACAGG